ACUCCUACGGGAGGCAGCAGUGGGGAAUAUUGCACAAUGGGCGCAAGCCUGAUGCAGCCAUGCCGCGUGUAUGAAGAAGGCCUUCGGGUUGUAAAGUACUUUCAGCAGUGAGGAAGGUGGGUAUGUUAAUAGCAUACUCAUUUGACGUUAGCUGCAGAAGAAGCACCGGCUAACUCCGUGCCAGCAGCCGCGGUAAUACGGAGGGUGCGAGCGUUAAUCGGAAUUACUGGGCGUAAAGCGCAUGCAGGUGGUUUGUUAAGUCAGAUGUGAAAGCCCGGGGCUCAACCUCGGAAUUGCAUUUGAAACUGGCAAACUAGAGUACUGUAGAGGGGGGUAGAAUUUCAGGUGUAGCGGUGAAAUGCGUAGAGAUCUGAAGGAUACCGGUGGCGAAGGCGGCCCCCUGGACAGAUACUGACACUCAGAUGCGAAAGCGUGGGGAGCGAAACAGGAUUAGAUACCCUGGUAGCGUAG
rnacentral:rRNA from 1 species